rnacentral:rRNA from 1 species
AUUGAACGCUGGCGGCAGGCUUAACACAUGCAAGUCGAGCGGGGGAAGGUAGCUUGCUACUGGACCUAGCGGCGGACGGGUGAGUAAUGCUUAGGAAUCUGCCUAUUAGUGGGGGACAACAUCUCGAAAGGGGUGCUAAUACCGCAUACGUCCUACGGGAGAAAGCAGGGGAUCUUCGGACCUUGCGCUAAUAGAUGAGCCUAAGUCGGAUUAGCUAGUUGGUGGGGUAAAGGCCUACCAAGGCGACGAUCUGUAGCGGGUCUGAGAGGAUGAUCCGCCACACUGGGACUGAGACACGGCCCAGACUCCUACGGGAGGCAGCAGUGGGGAAGAUUGGACAAUGGGGGGAACCCUGAUCCAGCCAUGCCGCGCGUGUGAAGAAGGCCUUAUGGUUGUAAAGCACUUUAAGCGAGGAGGAGGCUACUUUAGUCAAUACCUAGAGAUAGUGGACGUUACUCGCAGAAUAAGCACCGGCUAACUCUGUGCCAGCCGCCGCCGUAA